rnacentral:rRNA from 1 species
GACGGAAGGUGCAAGCGUUGCUCGGAAUCACUGGGCGUAAAGGGUGCGUAGGCGGCCGUGCAAGUCUGGCGUGAAAGCCCCGGGCUCAGCCCGGGAAGUGCGCUCGAAACUGCGCGGCUCGAGUGCCGGAGGGGAGAGUGGAAUUCCUGGUGUAGCGGUGAAAUGCGCAGAUAUCAGGAGGAGCACCGGUGGCGAAGGCGGGUCUCUGGGCCGUAACUGACGCUGAGGAGCGAAAGCAUGGGGAGCGAACAGG